rnacentral:rRNA from 1 species
GACGAACGCUGGCGGCGUGCUUAACACAUGCAAGUCGAACGGAAAGGCCCUGCUUGCAGGGUACUCGAGUGGCGAACGGGUGAGUAACACGUGGGUGAUCUGCCCUGCACUUCGGGAUAAGCCUGGGAAACUGGGUCUAAUACCGGAUAGGAGCCAUUUUUAGUGUGAUGGUUGGAAAGUUUUUUUCGGUGUAGGAUGAGCUCGCGGCCUUUCAGCUUGUUGGUGGGGUAAUGGCCUACCAAGGCGGCGACGGGUAGCCGGCCUGAGAGGGUGGACGGCCACAUUGGGACUGAGAUACGGCCCAGACUCCUACGGGAGGCAGCAGUGGGGAAUAUUGCACAAUGGGCGCAAGCCUGAUGCAGCGACGCCGCGUGGGGGAUGACGGCCUUCGGGUUGUAAACUCCUUUCGCUAGGGACGAAGCUUUUUGUGACGGUACCUAGAUAAGAAGCACCGGCUAACUACGUG